CAGAUCCAUCUCAGACAACCCUAUGCCCUUGAGUUCGGCAAAAAAGUCGUUAUCCUUCUCUUUAGGCAUUACGACAUCCUUCUUCAGAUUCUCGCUCUUCCUGCGGUUUCUUCUUAUUGUUAUCUCCAGCGCAUCAGCCUGCCUUUCUAGCUCCUUUCCUCGUUUAAACGCCUUCAGCGCCUCGUUCGAUUUUCCUGUCGCUUUCAAUGUCUUGUACUUCCCUUUCUCCUCCACUGCCCGCUGUCUUAAUUCCUCAGGAGUAGUAGUCACUAAAGAUUCCUUCUCAACAUGAUCAACAGAAUAGCUUCUACUCAUUUCUCCCCCAUGAUCCAUGUUAUCCCUAGUCGAACAUGAAGCAC
rnacentral:lncRNA from 1 species